GACAGCAGCCGCCACGGGAAUACGUAGGGUGCGAGCGUUAAUCGGAAUUACUGGGCGUAAAGCGUGCGCAGGCGGUUCGUUAAGACAGAUGUGAAAUCCCCGGGCUUAACCUGGGAACUGCAUUUGUGACUGGCGAGCUAGAGUAUGGCAGAGGGGGGUAGAAUCCCACGUGUAGCAGUGAAAUGCGUAGAGAUGUGGAGGAAUACCGAUGGCGAAGGCAGCCCCCUGGGCCAAUACUGACGCUCAUGCACGAAAGCGUGGGGAGCAAACAGGAUUAGAUACCCGCGUAGUCCCUGUCUCUUAUAA
rnacentral:rRNA from 1 species